GACCCUACGGGAGGCAGCAGUGAGGAAUAUUGGUCAAUGGGAGAGAUCCUGAACCAGCCAAGCCGCGUGAGGGAAGACGGCCCUAUGGGUUGUAAACCUCUUUUGUCGGAGAACAAAACCCGGGACGUGUCCCGGACUGCGUGUAUCCGAAGAAAAAGCAUCGGCUAACUCCGUGCCAGCAGCCGCGGUAAUACGGAGGAUGCGAGCGUUAUCCGGAUUUAUUGGGUUUAAAGGGUGCGUAGGCGGAUCGUUAAGUCAGUGGUCAAAUUGAGGGGCUCAACCCCUUCCCGCCAUUGAAACUGGCG
rnacentral:rRNA from 1 species